GAAUAAAUCACUAUCAAUGCUCAAACUUGAUUUCGUUCCAAGGGUGCCCGUUCCCCGUAGCCUCCCCUCAUGGCGUGAUGUUGAAACCCCAAUCUAAUUAAUUGUAAGGGAUAGAUCCCCAGUACCUGUAAGGAAGGAAAAAGACGGUCUUCUACUAGGAUUCCUCUGUAAUCCUAAUAGGACUCAUACCAUGUAAUCCUACUAGGACUCCUAUCUUGUAACCGACUAGUAAUCCC
rnacentral:lncRNA from 1 species